rnacentral:rRNA from 1 species
AUUGAACGCUGGCGGCAGGCCUAACACAUGCAAGUCGAACGAGUGGCGGACGGGUGAGUAAUGUCUGGGAAACUGCCUGAUGGAGGGGGAUAACUACUGGAAACGGUAGCUAAUACCGCAUACCAUCAGAUGUGCCCAGAUGGGAUUAGCUAGUUGGUGGGGUAACGGCUCACCAAGGCGACGAUCCCUAGCUGGUCUGAGAGGAUGACCAGCCACACUGGAACUGAGCCACGGUCCAGCCUCCUACGGGAGGCAGCAGUGGGGAAUAUUGCAAAAGGGGCGCAAUCUGGAUGCAGCACUGCGGCGUGUAUGAAGAAGGCCUUCGGGUUGUAAAGUACUUUCAGCGGGGAGGCGGUACCCGAAGAAGAAGCACCGGCUAACUCCGUGCCAGCCGCCGCGGUAAUUC